rnacentral:rRNA from 1 species
UACGAGGGGAGCAAGCGUUGUUCGGAUUUACUGGGCGUAAAGGGCGCGUAGGCGGCCACGACAAGUCACUUGUGAAAUCUCCGGGCUUAACUCGGAACGGUCAAGUGAUACUGUCGGGCUAGAGUACAGAAGGGGCAACUGGAAUUCUCGGUGUAGCGGUGAAAUGCGUAGAUAUCGAGAGGAACACCUGCGGCGAAGGCGGGUUGCUGGGCUGAUACUGACGCUGAGGCGCGAAAGCCAGGGGAGCGAACGGG